UAAAUUCAUCAUUAUUUUAUCUGUGUUUUAACCUACUUCAAGUGUGACCAUAUAGUGCAUGCCUCAGCCGCUAAAUUUUCUUGCAAUUCAAAUAGGUUAUACUGUUAUUGAUUUAAGUUUUCAUGUUUUAUAGCAUGCAUGAUUAAUAUUACAUAGUUUGGUAUAUUUGUAUUAUUGUUGUUAUUAUUAUUUUUGGAAUAUAUUUAGGUUGUUCAUGUCAUAAAUUUUCCUAACCACGUACAAUUGAGCAUAAUUAUUAUUUAUUGUAAGUUUUCUAACAUAUACUCGUUUAAUUUAACCUAGGGAUGUAGGAUCAAGC
rnacentral:lncRNA from 1 species